ensembl:snRNA Gm27449 predicted gene, 27449
GUACUCACUUCGACAGCACAUAUGCUAAAAUUGGAACUAUACAGAGAAGAUUAGCAUGG